AUAAUAUAUCAACCCUUCUUUGUUGGAGUGGUUUGGAUGUGGGGGUUUGCUGGACUCUUAAAAAUAAGUCCAGCUCCCCUGAAAUGCAUUAGCAGAGCAAACCUGUUCAUUGGCGUGAUAUAACUAUCUACGCUAUUGAAUGUCAGGGGGGCAGUUCAGCUUUCUAACAGUCCUUGGACAAAUCUAUCAUUU
rnacentral:misc_RNA from 1 species